rnacentral:rRNA from 1 species
CCUACGGGAGGCAGCAGUGAGGAAUAUUGGUCAAUGGCCGCAGGGCUGAACCAGCCAAGUCGCGUGAGGGAUGACGGUCCUAUGGAUUGUAAACCUCUUUUGUCAGGGAGCAAAGGGCGCCACGUGUGGCGCUUUGCGAGUACCUGAAGAAAAAGCAUCGGCUAACUCCGUGCCAGCAGCCGCGGUAAUACGGAGGAUGCGAGCGUUAUCCGGAUUUAUUGGGUUUAAAGGGUGCGCAGGCGGAAUGUCAAGUCAGCGGUAAAAUUUCGGGGCUCAACCCCGUCGUGCCGUUGAAACUGGCGUUCUUGAGUGAGCGAGAAGUAUGCGGAAUGCGGGGUGUAGCGGUGAAAUGCAUAGAUAUCACGCAGAACUCCGAUUGCGAAGGCAGCAUACCGGCGCUCAACUGACGCUCAUGAACGAAAGCGUGGGUAUCGAACAGGAUUAGAUACCCCAGUAGUC